GACGAAGGAUGCAAGCGUUAUCCGGAUUCAUUGGGUUUAAAGGGAGCGUAGGCGGCCUUAUAAGUCAGUGGUGAAAUCUCCUCGCUUAACGAGGAAAUUGCCAUUGAUACUGUAGGGCUUGAGUACAGUUGCCGUUGGCGGAAUAUGACAUGUAGUGGUGAAAUACAUAGAGAUGUCAUAGAACACCGAUUGCGAAGGCAGCUAACGAAACUGUAACUGACGCUGAGGCUCGAAAGUGCGGGGAUCAAACAGGAUUAGAUACCAUGGUAGUCCGCACUGUAAACGAUGAUUACUCGCUGCUGGGUGGCAACAUUCAGUGGCUUAGCGAAAGCGAUAAGUAAUCCACCUGGGGAGUACGCCGGCAACGGCGAA
rnacentral:rRNA from 1 species